AAAGCAUCUAAGCGGGAAGCCUGUUUUAAGAUGAGGUUUCUUUUGAGGUUCCCCACAGACUAUGGGGUUGAUAGGCCAGAUCUAGAAGACGGGCAACCGUUGAAGGUGACUGGUACUAAUACACCAACAAAAAACACAAA
rnacentral:rRNA from 1 species